UGGGGAAUUUUGGACAAUGGGCGAAAGCCUGAUCCAGCAAUGCCGCGUGUGUGAAGAAGGCCUUCGGGUUGUAAAGCACUUUUGUCCGGAAAGAAAUCCUUGGCUCUAAUACAGUCGGGGGAUGACGGUACCGGAAGAAUAAGCACCGGCUAACUACGUGCCAGCAGCCGCGGUAAUACGUAGGGUGCAAGCGUUAAUCGGAAUUACUGGGCGUAAAGCGUGCGCAGGCGGUUUGCUAAGACCGAUGUGAAAUCCCCGGGCUCAACCUGGGAACUGCAUUGGUGACUGGCAGGCUAGAGUAUGGCAGAGGGGGGUAGAAUUCCACGUGUAGCAGUGAAAUGCGUAGAGAUGUGGAGGAAUACCGAUGGCGAAGGCAGCCCCCUGGGCCAAUACUGACGCUCAUGCACGAAAGCGUGGGGAGCAAACAGGAUUAGAUACCCUGGUAGUCCACGCCCUAAACGAUGUCAACUAGUUGUUGGGGAUUCAUUUCCUUAGUAACGUAGCUAACGCGUGAAGUUGACCGCCUGGGGGAGUACGGUCGCAAGAUUAAAACUUAAAUGAAUUGACGGGGUCAUAGCUGUUU
rnacentral:rRNA from 1 species